rnacentral:misc_RNA from 1 species
UCUCCCGUGAGGGAGCAGUCUCGCCUGGCCAUAUAGGCAACAGACAACGGGGGUUGCGUUCGUUACCCCACUGAAGGGAACAGUUCAAACCACGAACUGACGACGACCAUGCAUCACCUGUCCAGCACCCUCGAAGGCUCCGUCCCUUUCAGGUCGGAUGCAGCUGGAUUUCUAACCUUGGUAAGGUUCUUCGUUUAUCGACGAAUUAAGCCGCAUAAUCCACUGCUUGUGCGAGUCCCCGUCUAUUCCUUUGAGUUUUAAUCUUGCGAUCGUACUACCCAGGCGGCUCGCUUACCGCGUUAGCUUAGUCUCACAGAGGGUCGAUACUCCGUAAAACGAGCGAGCAACGUUGAGGGCCAGGACUAC